UACCAGCUCUCCGAGUGGUGUGGAUGUUUAUUGGGCCUAAAGCAUCCGUAGCUGGCUGGGCAAGUCCCCUGUUAAAUCCACCGAUUUAAUCGUUGGUGUGCGGGGGAUACUGUUCGGCUAGGGGACGGGAGAGGCCGACGGUAUUUUCGGGGUAGGGGUGAAAUCCUAUAAUCCCGGGAAGACCACCAGUGGCGAAGGCUGUCGGCUAGAACGCGCCCGACGGUGAGGGAUGAAAGCCGGGGGAGCGAACCGGAUUAGAUACCCGGGUAGUCCCAGCUGUAAACGAUGCAGGCUAGGUGUUUGGGCGGCCACGUGCCGCUCUAGUGCCGCAGAGAAGUCGUUAAGCCUGCCGCCUGGGGAGUACGGCCGCAAGGCUGAAACUUAAAGGAAUUGGCGGGGGAGCACCACAAGGGGUGAAGCUUGCGGUUU
rnacentral:rRNA from 1 species